AUGUUCUCUAUGGAAUCUUCUGCACCUGAGAUUCUCUCUUCCAUUUCUUGUAUUCUGUUGCUGAUGCUCGCAUCUAUGUUUCCAGAUCUCUUUCCUAGGGUUUCUAUCUCCAGCGUUGCCUCGCUUUGGGUUUUCUUUAUUGUGUCUACUUCCCCUUUUAGUUCUAGUAUGGUUUUGUUCAUUUCCAUCACCUGUUUGGUCUUCUCAUUGUGUCCUGGAUUACCUGGAUGUUUUGAGUUAGGAUCCUUUUGCAUUUUGUAUUUUCUUUGACUGUUGUGUCGAUGUUCUCUAUGGAAUCUUCUGCACCUGAGAUUCUCUCUUCCAUUUCUUGUAUUCUGUUGCUGAUGCUCGCAUCUAUGGUUCCAGAUCUCUUUCCUAGGGUUUCUAUCUCCAGCGUUGCCUCGCUUUGGGUUUUCUUUAUUGUGUCUACUUCCCCUUUUAGUUCUAGUAUGGUUUUGUUCAUUUCCAUCACCUGUUUGGCUGUGUUUUCCUGCUUUUCUUUAAGA
rnacentral:lncRNA from 1 species